GGGGCUCAUGCCUAUAAUCCCAGCACUUAGGGAGGCCAAGGCGGGUGGAUCACUUGAGGUCAGGAGUUCGAGACCAGCCUGGCCAACAUACUGAAAUCUCGUCUCUACUAAAAAUACAAAAAUUAGCCAGGUGUAGUGGUGCAUGCCUGUAAUCCCAGCUACUCGGGAGGCUGAGGCAGGAGAAUCGCUUGAACACAGGAGUCGGAGGUUACAAUGAGCCGAGAUUACGCCACUGCAUUCCAGCCUGGAAUGCAGAGACUGGAACAGCCUGGCGACAGAGACUCUGUCUCAAAAAAAAUUUUUUUUUCUUUUAUUAUCAUACUUUAAGUUCUAGGGUACAUGUGCACAACGUGCAGGUUUGUUACAUAUAUAUACAUGUGCCAUGUUGGUGUGCUGCACCCAUUAACUCGUCAUUUACAUUAGGUAUAUCUCCUAAUGCUAUCCCUCCCCGCUCCCCCACGCCACAACAGGCCCCGGUGUGUGAUGUUCCCCACCCUAUGUCCAAGUGUUCUUAUUGUUCAAUUCCCACCUAUGAGUGAGAACAUGCGGUGUUUGGUUUUCUGGCCUUGUGAUAGUUUGCUGAGAAUGAUGAUUUCUAGCUUCAUCCAUGUCCCUGCAAAGGACAUGAACUCAUCCUAAAAAAAGAUAGAAUUUCUAUAAAGUGUGGGUUUCUGGUAUCUGCCUUACCUACCUCUCCAGCAAUCAAAUUAGGUCAUGUAUUUGCAGUAAUUUAAAUACUAAAGCCUUAUGUAAGUGUAAAUAUUGUCAUUGUUACAAAUGAAGGAACUAAGGGGCGUCUGAAAGAAAAUAAUGAGGAAUGCAGCAAAAGCACCUUUUUAAGCCAGGUAUGGUACUGUGGGCCUGAAGUUAGUCCCAGCAACUUGGGAGGCUGAGGCUAGAGGAUCACUUGAGCCAACGAGUUCAAGGCCAGCCUGGGCAACACAGCAAGCCCCUGACUCUUAAAAAAAAAAAAAAAAGAAAGAAAAAAGUACCUUUUUGAAAAUGGGAAACUCUUAAGUCACUUAUUACAAUUGUUAUAGAAGGAAAAGCACUGGUAAUGAUGGAGAAAAUGGGCUUCUCUCAUUUGUUGCCAUUUCAUUUUUCUUUCAUUGCAUCCCCCUAACUCACACUGUGCAAACUAGUCUAUGGAAACUCUUAUCUCACUAUUGUCAUUUAUCUGUCAUGAACUGAUUCUUAUUGCUAUGUAUUUGAAAGACGGCUCUAAGGUGGUUUUUUUUUUCCCCUAAGCCUCACCCCACUCAGCACCAAAAUUACAACAAAGUUCCAACUUAGUACGGCGAGUCUAUUGCCCUGCUCACUAAGUGAAUGUAGGAAUUACAUCUAGCAGACAAAGCUUUGGGCUGGUGAUGGAAAGCACACCCCACCGCUCACACCCUCCUGCUUCACUGUGUGCAUUCAUUCAACGUGUUUAGGAAACACCAGUAAAGAGCUGGCUACUUUGCAUGGCUCUGCCUCACCAGCACGGGGCCCUGAGAAAAUGGCUUGGUGUGGAGGUGGCUGUGCUAACCUCAUGAGGGUGUGAGCCAGCCUGACGAUGGCCUACGGGCCCACAUGAAUGGCAGAAGCCAGUGUGGAGGCCCCAUAUAUUGUCCUGUUCCUUCUGGAAGACUAAGGUUGAACACUGCCGAGGAAAUUGGCAGAUGGGUCCUCAAGGCAGCCGUCCAUUUUCUGGGGUGUGUGGUAGAAAGCUGGAGGCUAUGCUGUCCCCAGCCCUGAUGUGAGUACCCAUAAACAAUCAUGGCAUUUCUCCAGCUUCGGUUCAUGAGUCCCUUCAUUUUAUGCCCAAUCAGAAACACAGUGUUCUUCUAUCCUGUGCAGAGGGGGAAGCAACAGAACACUUGGAGAAUUUUCUUCCAUCUGCUCAUGACUGGAAUUGCUCUCAUUGUCAUUCCUCCGCUUUUCUAAGGACAGGGAAGGAAAACUGCCUUCACUGAAAUCACAGGUACUUUCUAGUCAUUCAGUUUCUUAGGUCUUAUUCCAUUCUGGUAAGCUGGCACUUUCCCCUAAUUACCAAUCUUACCUAUUGAGAGAAAGUUGAAAUGGCAACAAAGAUGGUUUUCCCAAAUGCUACACCUCCAGAUGUUGACUUUUCUUGAACUCAUAAAUAAGUGAUUUGCUCUUCUGAAUUUUCAAGAAAACUGCUCCACAAUUAACAUUCAAAGUUUCUUAAACUAGUUUUCACUUAAUAGAAAUUGCCUUGUAAGCCACGAAUAAAUCAAGCACACAAAAUAAAUGUAUUUUAUUUGCCUUAUGAUCUGUAAUACUGUAAUGCUGUAAUACACCUCCUCCUAGAGCAUUUCAGAUGGUUAAAAAUAGCUUAUUUAAAUGUGUCACAUCCAUAUACACCAUGGAAUACUAUGCAGCCAUAAAAAAUGAUGAGUUCAUGUCCUUUGUAGGGACAUGGAUGAAAUUGGAAAUCAUCAUUCUCAGCAAACUAUCGCAAGGACAAAAAACCAAACACCGCGUAUUCUCACUCAUCGGUGGGAAUUGAACAAUGAGAACACAUGGACACAGGAAGGGGAACAUCACACUCUGGGGA
rnacentral:lncRNA from 1 species